rnacentral:misc_RNA from 1 species
GGAAGUAAAACUCGUAACAAGGUCUCCGUUGGUGAACCAGCGGAGGGAUCAUUACAGAGUUUUCACAACUCCCAACCCUUGCGAACCGUACCCAUUCUGUUCUCGUUGCUUCCGGCGGGGGGGACGGGGGGGCCCGAAACGGCCUCCCCGCCCCGCCCGCCGGGGGCGGCGGGCCCUACGAACCUUUAUAUCUCAGCCACCAGAAACCGUCUGAGAAAACAAACAAAAUAAUCAAAACUUUCAACAACGGAUCUCUUGGCUCUG